AACGAACGCUGGCGGCAUGCCUAACACAUGCAAGUCGAACGAGACCGUCCGGCUUAUUUGCGCUCGGCGAGUUACCGACUGGUGACUUACCCUUGGGUACGGUAUACCUGCCUGUAAGGUGACCUCAUACCACUUAAUCUCAUACGACCUAAGAUUUGCUGCCGUUGGAUGGGCCCGCGUUGGAUUAGCUAGUUGGUAGGGUAACAGCCUACUAAGACGAUGAUCCAUAGCUGGUCUGAGAGGAUGAUCAGCCACACUGGGACUGAGACACGGCCCAGACUCCUGCGGAAGGCAGCAGUGGGGAAUAUUGGGCGAUGGGCGAAAGCCUGAUCCAGCAAUGCCGCGUGAGUGAUGAAGGCCUUAGGGUUGUAAAGGUCUUUUACCCGGGAUGAUAGUGACAGUACCGGGAGGAUAAGCUCCGGCUAACUCCG
rnacentral:rRNA from 1 species